GCAAUCCCACAUGGCCGAAAUGACAGGGUCUACACAAGCUUUCACCAGGAAGGAAAUAUGGUGCAGUAAGAGAGUGCUUUUUCUUACACCUCAGGUCAUGGUAAAUGACCUUUCUAGAGGAGCUUGUCCCGCUGCUGAAAUAAAGUGUUUAGUUAUUGAUGAAGCUCAUAAAGCUCUCGGAAACUAUGCUUAUUGCCAGGUAAUAAUUUUGUUAAACGGUAUUUUGUAUUGUAACUGUACUGUUAAAGAGAAUUUUGGCGAAUAGUUACUAGUGAUGGAAGUUAUUGACAAUAUUAUUAUAAAAAGCCUUUACGUCUAUUAUCUCAGAACAGAUGGUGAUAAAGAAUAUCUGUACUUUCUGUCAUCCAUUCAAAUCAGUGUCUUCACUGCCUUUUGCUGUUAUUGUUGUUUUUUCUUUUCUUCUAUUUUAAGACUAACCAGAUAAUUAGUGUCAGAUGUAGAUCAUGAGAGCCUAGUCAUGGUUGGGACAGUGAUCUAAAAUAGGGUAUGAAAGGAGUUUUGAAAUUAAUAAAGAUUGGUAGUGGAUAUGCGGUGUCUUUUCUUGGCGGCUAGGUAAAAUAAUGACAUAAUGUAUGCCACAUACCUAACACAGUGCCUUCCAGUUGAGUACUCCAGGAAUAUAAAAUAAGAUGAAGUAGUGGGAUGUGGUUGCAAACAUCAUUCAUAUCUUUGCACUGAAUGAAGUUGACUUUCUGUUUCCCUCUUCUCCUAAGGGGGAUUUUGCCUCUUCUACUCAAGGUCCAGGUCAUUACUAUUUUAUGCUUAAUAGUUUGAAAGCCUUUGUAGGCCAUAGGGGAUAAAGGUGGUGGGGACUCAUUAAAAAAUGUUUGGCUGGGAUAACUCUCAAGAUUUGAAAGAGAUUAGACAGAAGAAGGCUAAAGACAGAGUAUCU
rnacentral:sRNA from 1 species